rnacentral:rRNA from 1 species
GAUAAACGCUGGCGGCGUGCAUAACACAUUCAAGUCGAACGGACUGAUUCGAAAGCUUGCUUUUGAUGAAAGUUAGUGGCGGACGGGUGAGUAACGCGUGAGCAACCUGCCUAUCAGUGCGGGAUAACGUUUGGAAACGGACGCUAAUACCGCAUAACAUACCGAGGAUGCAUGUUUUUGGUAUCAAAGAUUUAUUGCUGAUAGAUGGGCUCGCGUCUGAUUAGCUAGUUGGUGAGGUAACGGCCCACCAAGGCGACGAUCAGUAGCCGGACUGAGAGGUUGACCGGCCACAUUGGGACUGAGAUACGGCCCAGACUCCUACGGGAGGCAGCAGUGGGGAAUAUUGGGCAAUGGACGCAAGUCUGACCCAGCAACGCCGCGUGAAGGAAGAAGGCUUUCGGGUUGUAAACGUUCUUUUAAGGGGGAAGAGCAGAAGACGGUACCCCUUGAAUAAGCCACGGCUAACUACGUG